GCAGCAGUGGGGAAUUAUUGGAUCAAUGGGCGAAAGCCUGAUCCAGCCAUGCCGCGUGUGUGAAGAAGGUCUUCGGAUUGUAAAGCACUUUAAGUUGGGAGGAAGGGCAGUUACCUAAUACGUGACUGUCUUGACGUUACCGAACAGAAUAAGCACCGGCUAACUCUGUGCCAGCAGCCGCGGUAAUACAGAGGGUGCAAGCGUUAAUCGGAAUUACUGGGCGUAAAGCGCGCGUAGGUGGUUUGUUAAGUUGAAUGUGAAAUCCCCGGGCUCAACCUGGGAACUGCAUCCAAAACUGGCAAGCUAGAGUAUGGUAGAGGGUAGUGGAAUU
rnacentral:rRNA from 1 species